AUCACUCAUCAUCUUCCAACGGGUGUUAAAGUGAUCUUCGAUUGAAACAAUAGGUAUUGAAUGCUCUUCGCAAACUAAACAGUUAUUGUCCUCUUGAGAAAAAAGUAUGAUUUUAAGUCCAAGAGCUUCUAAGUCCAAGAGUCCAAGCUUCUUAUACAGUUUAUAUAAGUUAUGAUGCCAUAGAACUAGAAAUAGAGAUCUAGAAUGAUGACAACAGUGACCAAUUUUCACUUUUUUUUAUACGCAACCAAUGUGGUUUUUAUCAAGUUUUUUUCAAACAACUUAUGGUUUUAUUUGUACCAAAGUUUACACUACUAAUCCGUAUAAAAACAAUUUUAUCAAUACUGGUAGCUCCAUUCUCCCAAGAAUUUAUUCACUUUUUUUAAGGAAACAACGAUAAUAAUGCCAAUAUUACUAUAAUUUAUUUAAUAUAUAGUAUUAAAAUGCUAUACAAGAGAUUUUUAAUUGCUUGCGAGUGUCAAAGUUAUCAUUUUGUUGGUAGGACUGUGUUCUCAUUUUAAUUUCAUAAAAAUGUCAACUUUGUCAUAAGAAAAUUCUCAUUUAAAAAUGGAGUCAUUUAAAUUCAAUACAAUUGACAAAUUGUUAUGUCAAAUUGUUUUUAAAUUUAAAAUUUAAAAACAAUUUGACAAAUUGUUAUGUCAAAUUGUUUUUAAAUUUAAAAUUUAAAAACAAUUUGACAUAUUACUCGAUAAGGUCAUGCUUAUUAAAAAGAAUCUAAAUACAACAAUUAUUUAGAAUCUUUUAAUAAGCAUGAAAAAAUUUUAAACUAAAGUUUUCAUAACUUUUUCUAUGCUUUAGGUUAAUGUGUUAACAGUUUCUAUAUGUUAUAGAAUACUAUUUGCAAUGUAUUAGUUCUGAUAUGUAUAUCAAAGUUUAUAGUUAAUAUAUUUUAGCUUAAAUCAUUUUUAAAUUAUGCUAAUAGUACCUGAUAUGGCUUCAAAAUAAACAUUAAAAAUAUUCAACAUACAAAAGAAUAAGAAAAAAAUUAAAUACCUUAAUUAAAAUCACUAACUUUUGCCCUAAAUUAAAUAUCUUUAUAAUACUCUUUAACUAUGGUCAAGAGUUUUUAAAAUUUGAAAAUAGUUUUAUGUAAAUAUUAUGAAAAUGAGAAUAAAGUAUUAACUUAGUUCAAGCGUCAAUUUUUAAGCGUCAGUGCUAGUAUGACUUCUCACUUUAUAAUGGUAAAAUGUUUUUCACCACUUACACAGUGCUGGUCCAUUUUGGCUGCGAGGAAGUGCUGUUUCCAUCCUACCUUUAGUUGCAAAAACUAAUUCUCAAGGAAUUUCUUGCUAGUAACUUUUUAAGAAAUUGACGAUUGUGCCCCUCGACUUCGAAAUCUAUGUCGUCGGUCACGUGAUAUUGUGUGCACUUUAAAUAUACUCAAGUAAUAUUUAAAAAAAUUAUUUGCAUGGCAAAAAAAGUUGGAGUUUUUACGACAGAUCCUUAAAUUUUAUGAGCCUUCUCAUGAAAUUUCCUGAAUAAUUUCAGGUCUUUAAAAGAGUAUCGUUGUCAGACCGCCGUCUGAAGGUUAACAUUCAUGGCGUUGUAUUUCAAGGGCUUCCCUCACUUUUCUGGAGCAUUCAAGUUUGUACACAGCUGGGUAGGAAUUUAUAUUAAGAGCAGAAGAAGUAAAAAGACUCUGAAUAACAAAGAAUUACAGUGGGAAAUGCAUGAUUGUUUGAAAUAGUUACUUAAUGCCAAGGUUGAAAUAUGCAAAAUUAUAUGAUAAAGAAUUUAGAAGAAGUAAAAAGACUCUGAAUAACAAAGAAUUACAGUGGGAAAUGCAUGAUUGUUUGAAAUAGUUACUUAAUGCCAAGGUUGAAAUAUGCAAAGUAUGUGAUGAAGAACAGCAAUGAAUAAAAGCCUCGUAAUAACAAGCAAUCAUAAUGGUGGAAUGCAUAAUUAUUUGAAAUACCUUAAAAUAUGAUUUUAUAUGUGUGAAGUUAUGAAAAAGCCGAAUCAGUUUGAAAACAUAUUAGAAUAAAAACAUAGCAAAAUAAGUAAUGCUCUCACAACAUGUGGCCAAUUAAAAACAAAAUGAUCUUAGGAAGCAAGGAAUCGUGACAUUUCAAAUAAGUUAAAAGAUCAUAAAAUAUUCUUUACAGACAAUUAGAUAAAAGAAUUAUAUGAUAAAGAAUUUAGAAGAAGUAAAAAGACUAUGAAUAACAAAGAAUUACAGUGGGAAAUACAUGAUUGUUUGAAAUAGUUACUUAAUGCCUAGGUUGAAAUAUGCAAAUAUCUGCAGGAAAAGCCAAGAUGGAAAAAAAAGUUCUCUGAGCACAAAGAAACAACACCCUAAAACGAUUAUCAAGAACUCCAAAAAUUCGGUUUAUAUUACCAAAAAACCUUCAAGCAACAUUUAUUAUUAUUUUUGAGUAAUUAAGACGUUCAUCACGAUUGAAACCUAAAUUUUGAUAAUGUGAAAUUGUCUAACAUUGUAUUAAAUAAUUUUUUAAUAAUUUGCUUGAUUAUUAUAUAAGCUUUUUUUUAUUUAUAAAGACUAGGUUUGUUUAUUUGUAUUUAAAGUUUUUUUUUAAAAAUUGUUAUGUAUUUCGUU